rnacentral:lncRNA from 1 species
AUUCAUCAGCUUUGAUGCCAAAGCUUCUAGUUUUGUUGUCCCCUAAAGACCUCUGUGUUAACAGCUCAGUCCCCAAAGUCUUAUGUUGACAGUUGGUGGAUUAUAAGUAAUGGUUAAUGGAUUAAGGGUGAGGACCUAAUCCAGUCGUGCUGUGUGAAGCUGCCAUCUUUGGAAGUGAUUCCAGUGGGCCAGGUUGCUGGGGUGGAGCCCCAUGACCGAAUCAGAGCGACGUCAUAAAGAAAAGCUGCACAGGCAGAGAUGGUGCUGUCACCAGGCGAUCUUUACCCUGCAUGUGCUUCCCAUUGUCCUGGCUCACCAGUGGAGCUGCACUCUUGGACUGUGAACUUACAAAUCUAUGGGCAGAAAUAAGCCCAUUUCCUUCAGAAGUGGCCGGAGCCAGGUGUUUUCAGUGAUGAAAAGUUGACUAAUACGAUAGAUAUACCUGACAUGACCUAGAUGUACUGGAUUUGAAUCUCCAGGGGCAGAACUCCACUUUCUGUUCCACAUCCUGCCUCCUCAACCCUCAAGAUGAACCCCGGAAAAGAGAGAGGAAUGAAUGAAAAGGAAAGGCCAAACGCCAAGAGGUCAUUCAGGCCAGAUUCACGUGGUCUUCAGAUGGAAAGACCUGAGGUAGCACCUGGCUGUUUUGCCCUGGCAAAGAGCACCAAGAUGGGAACGCGAGGAAGAAAACGUGAGGAAAUUUACUUUAUUCCUAAAAAGAGGGCAAAGGUUUCCGAAUCACGACUUCAAAUCAGCCACACAGAGCCCCGUGGGGACAGGUCUCUGAGGACUGGGGCUGUGUGUCAGUGCACUCGUGUGCAUCCGAUUUCUCCGUGACAGCUGCCUUUUACCUGCCCCUUUCUCCCCAGCGAGGAUGGACCCAGUACAAUGAACCCAGAACUGCUCAGAGGAUUCAUGGACCUAAGGAGCUUGUUGAAUGUAGCUGGAAGGAUUUUUCCCCUGGAGAGAAACACAGGCCAAGGUAACUUACUGGAGAAUAACGACUGAACGGCUUCCAGGGCAAAUCCUCAGCCGCAGGUGGAUCAAGUGUCUCACAGAGGUCAGAGGGCACCUCUGUCUCCCCCGUCUGUCCACCACCCUACAGGCGUCGCCCUCAGCACUGCUCACUCCAUGCAUGUGACGCUGGGUUUCAUGAGUGAAUCUGGGCUGUAAGUCACAGUUUUUGGUUAAAACUUACUCCUCAUGUAGGAUCUUUGUCCUUAGUGUGCUGUACAUUGAGAUUUAAUGCUAUAACUAGUACUCAAACAGUAUUUUUCACUUUAUGUUUCUGUGUGGGAGCAAACUGUUGAAAUCUUUACUUAAUGUAUGCUAAACUGAUCUUCUGUAUAGAAAGAGAAACGAAAAUGAAUCUUGAUGUGAAUGGAAGGGGAGAGGGAGUGGGAAAGGGGAGGGUUGCGGGUAGGAGGGACGUUAUGGGGGGGAAGCCAUUGUAGUCCAUAAGCUGUACUUUGGAAAUUUAUAUUCAUUAAAUAAAAGUUUAAAAAAAAAAAAACA